rnacentral:rRNA from 1 species
AUGCCCACUUGUGGGUGGAUUAGUGGCGAACGGGUGAGUAACACGUGAGUAACCUGCCCUUAACUCUGGGAUAAGCCUGGGAAACUGGGUCUAAUACCGGAUAUGACUCCUCAUCGCAUGGUGGGGGGUGGAAAGCUUUAUUGUGGUUUUGGAUGGACUCGCGGCCUAUCAGCUUGUUGGUGAGGUAAUGGCUCACCAAGGCGACGACGGGUAGCCGGCCUGAGAGGGUGACCGGCCACACUGGGACUGAGACACGGCCCAGACUCCUACGGGAGGCAGCAGUGGGGAAUAUUGCACAAUGGGCGAAAGCCUGAUGCAGCGACGCCGCGUGAGGGAUGACGGCCUUCGGGUUGUAAACCUCUUUCAGUAGGGAAGAAGCGAAAGUGACGGUACCUGCAGAAGAAGCGCCGGCUAACUACGUGCCAGCAGCCGCGGUAAUACGUAGGGCGCAAGCGUUAUCCGGAAUUAUUGGGCGUAAAGAGCUCGUAGGCGGUUUGUCGCGUCUGCCGUGAAAGUCCGGGGCUCAACUCCGGAUCUGCGGUGGGUACGGGCAGACUAGAGUGAUGUAGGGGAGACUGGAAUUCCUGGUGUAGCGGUGAAAUGCGCAGAUAUCAGGAGGAACACCGAUGGCGAAGGCAGGUCUCUGGGCAUUAACUGACGCUGAGGAGCGAAAGCAUGGGGAGCGAACAGGAUUAGAUACCCUGGUAGUCCAUGCCGUAAACGUUGGGCACUAGGUGUGGGGGACAUUCCACGUUUUCCGCGCC